rnacentral:rRNA from 1 species
GCUUAACACAUGCAAGUCGAGCGAUGAAGUUUCUUCGGAAAUGGAUUAGCGGCGAACGGGUGAGGAACACGUGAAGAAUCUGCCCUCCACUUUGGGAUAACACCGGGAAACCGGUGCUAAUACCGAAUAUUGAAACAUAAGUGGCAUCACUGAGUUUUGAAAGAAUUUCGGUGGAGGAUGACUUCGCGGCCUAUCAGCUAGUUGGUGAGGUAAUGGCUCACCAAGGCAACGACGGGUAGCCGGCCUGAGAGGGCGACCGGCCACACUGGGACUGAGACACGGCCCAGACUCCUACGGGAGGCAGCAGUGGGGAAUAUUGGGCAAUGGAGGAAACUCUGACCCAGCGACGCCGCGUGCGGGAUGAAGGCCUUCGGGUUGUAAACCGCUUUCAGUAGGGAAGAAGCGAAAGUGACGGUACCUACAAAAGAAGCACCGGCUAACUAUGUGCCAGCAGCCGCGGUAAUACAUAGGGUGCAAGCGUUGUCCGGAAUUAUUGGGCGUAAAGAGCUCGUAGGUCGUUUGUUACGUCGGAUGUGAAAACCUGAGGCUCAACCUCAGGCCUGCAUUCGAUACGGGCAAACUAGAGUUUGGUAGGGGAGACUGGAAUUCCUGGUGUAGCGGUGGAAUGCGCAGAUAUCAGGAGGAACACCAAUGGCGAAGGCAGGUCUCUGGGCCAAUACUGACACUGAGGAGCGAAAGUCUGGGGAGCGAACAGGAUUAGAUACCCUGGUAGUCCAGACCGUAAACGGUGGGCACUAGUUGUGGGAACCUUCCACGGUUUCUGCGACGCAGCUAACGCAUUAAGUGCCCCGCCUGGGAG